CCUACGGGAGGCUGCAGUGGGGAAUAUUGCGCAAUGGGCGAAAGCCUGACGCAGCGACGCCGCGUGAGGGAUGAAGGUCUUCGGAUCGUAAACCUCUGUCAGCAGGGAAGAACGGUCACUGUGCUAAUCAGCAGUGAAUUGACGGUACCUGCAAAGGAAGCACCGGCUAACUCCGUGCCAGCAGCCGCGGUAAUAUGGAGGGUGCGAGCGUUAAUCGGAAUUACUGGGCGUAAAGCGCUCGUAGGCGGUAUGUCAAGUCAAGGGUGAAAUCCCCGCGCUCAACGUGGGAACUGCCUUUGAAACUGGGAAACUGGAGUGGGUGAGAGGAUAGUGGAAGUCCAGGUGUGGGAGUGAAAUCCGUAGAUAUCGGGAGGGACAACAGGGGCGAAGGCGACUAGCUGGAACAUAACGGACGCUGAGGAGCGAAAGCGUGGGUAGCAAACAGGAUUAGAUACCCGUGUAGUC
rnacentral:rRNA from 1 species